rnacentral:rRNA from 1 species
AGAGUUUGAUCCUGGCUCAGACUGAACGCUGGCGGCAUGCCUUACACAUGCAAGUCGAACGGUAGAGGGGCAACCCUUGAGAGUGGCGAACGGGUGAGUAAUGCAUCGGAACGUGCCCAGUCGUGGGGGAUAACGCAGCGAAAGCUGUGCUAAUACCGCAUGUGAUCUGUGGAUGAAAGCAGGGGACUUGGUAGCAAUACUGGGCCUUGUGCGAUUGGAGCGGCCGAUGUCAGAUUAGCUAGUUGGUAGGGUAAAAGCCUACCAAGGCGACGAUCUGUAGCUGGUCUGAGAGGACGACCAGCCACACUGGGACUGAGACACGGCCCAGACUCCUACGGGAGGCAGCAGUGGGGAAUUUUGGACAAUGGGCGCAAGCCUGAUCCAGCAAUGCCGCGUGCAGGACGAAGGCCUUCGGGUUGUAAACUGCUUUUGUACGGAGCGAAACGGUCUGGGUUAAUACCCUAGGCUAAUGACGGUACCGUAAGAAUAAGCACCGGCUAACUACGUGCCAGCAGCCGCGGUAAUAC